rnacentral:rRNA from 1 species
CAGUAGCCGCGGGAAUACAGAGGGUGCGAGCGUUAAUCGGAUUUACUGGGCGUAAAGCGUGCGUAGGCGGCUUUUUAAGUCGGAUGUGAAAUCCCUGAGCUUAACUUAGGAAUUGCAUUCGAUACUGGGAAGCUAAAGUAUGGGAGAGGAUGGUAGAAUUCCAGGUGUAGCGGUGAAAUGCGUAGAGAUCUGGAGGAAUACCGAUGGCGAAGGCAGCCAUCUGGCCUAAUACUGACGCUGAGGUACGAAAGCAUGGGGAGCAAACAGGAUUAGAUACCCCCGUAGUCCCUGUCUCUUAUAC